rnacentral:rRNA from 1 species
AACGAACGCUGGCGGCAGGCCUAAAACAUGCAAGUCGAACGAACCUUCGGGUUAGUGGCGCACGGGUGCGUAACGCGUGGGAAUAUGCCUCUUGGUGCGGAACAACGUCUGGAAACGGACGCUAAUACCGCAUAAUGUCUACGGAUCAAAGAUUUAUCGCCAAGAGAUUAGCCCGCGUCUGAUUAGCUAGUUGGUGAGGUAAUGGCUCACCAAGGCGACGAUCAGUAGCUGGUCUGAGAGGAUGAUCAGCCACACUGGAACUGAGACACGGUCCAGACUCCUACGGGAGGCAGCAGUUGGGAAUAUUGGACAAUGGGGGAAACCCUGAUCCAGCCAUGCCGCGUGUGUGAAGAAGGCCUUAGGGUUGUAAAGCACUUUCGGCUGUGAAGAUAAUGACAGUAGCAGAAGAAGAAGCUCCGGCUAAAUUCGUGCCAGCCGCCGCGGUAA